rnacentral:lncRNA from 1 species
UCACCCAGUCUUGGUGUAUGUAGACGUUUUCUUAAUAUUUCUUAAUAUUCUAUUUAGGAUGAGCUUAUCAUGGAACAUAAGAAAAAUAAAACAGAUGUCAGCCUGUGUAUGAAGAAUUCAUCCACAAGAUUUGACCGAAGACUGUGAGACUUCCUCCCCACAGUGAGCUAAAAGGACGCUUUUGUCAGAGUGGGGAAAUAAAAGGGCUUUAUGGGAAGGAAGAUAAGAACAGAUGAGUCAGAGGUUUCUGCUUAAUGCUCACUCUUCAAUUCUUUCCCGAGCAAAACCAAGAAUCUUCUUGGGCUAAGCCCCAAUUUGGGGUUCACCUGCCUUGCAGCAACAUGGCACCAAACAUGCGGCAGAAGAGAGAAAACGACAGCAUGAGAGACGGAGAAAGAAAUGGCCAGUUGGCAAGGUGGUAAUGAGAGACAGCAGUUGGCAAGACAGUGAGAGACAGCAAGAGAUGGUGGUACAGCCAAGCAGACAGGCAAGUAAGUGGCCAUACUGCUACUGCCUCAUGUAGGAUCCGGCAGGCUGGUGGGUUAUCAGUCCUCACGUGGGACCCUCCCACCAUGGCAGCUGAGCACAUCCAAGCUGGGGGAUCCUGAAGAGACCUUCACCUGGGUGCCACGUGGAAGAUUGGCCAGCACCAUUUUGACUCCUGUGGAUGGUUCCAGGUAAAGACAAUCCUUGCACAAGGCUUCCAACUCGACCCGCCUACUGACCUGGAGAAUGAAAGUGUCCUGCCUCGGGG